AUUCCACACAGGAAGGUCACACCAUCCCUCACCAUCAUCAGCAUGAAGAGCAGAUGUUUUUGAAAGUUGUUGUUAAAGAGGAAGAGGAGGAAAUGACUGUGAUGGAUUAUCAGGAGACUACGGAGGAAGUUGGGAUGAUGGUGACAACUAAAGAAGAGGAAUAUUCUCUAGAUAACAGCACAGAUGGAUCCAGUAAUGGGAACCCACCAGAGAGAUGUCCCAGU